rnacentral:lncRNA from 1 species
CCCAUCUCUCUUGGUUCUGCACACCCAACCGAAACCAUCCAAAAUCCCAGCCAACCCAAGUGAUUCCGAGUUGUUCUAGUGUGGUAAUCUUCAGCCAUCAAACUAGUUCAUCACCGAGCAUUGUCACAGGUUCCGUUCGACACCGUUCUCACUACCUUGGUGUCUAGUUCGAGCCAACAUUAGCUUCACGGUCCGCAAGAAGCAAGUCUCAAAUUCCCCGGAAAGCGAGUUCGAGUUCUUCAUCAUCUCGUCUUUCGAACGCAUCCUCGCUUGCUCUUGUAAGUGUUGUUAUGAUUAUCCUUCGAACUCUUCAUGUGGUCGGGAAUUGUUUUGGACGUUUGAUUUUGCUAGCGUACACUUCGGAACGCAAAACAGUAACUAAAGGUGGAUGUGCGCGCGGUCUUACUCAUGCUUAUGGAUGUCGUUUAUGUUCUGCUUAA